GAUGAACGCUGGCGGCGUGCUUAAUACAUGCAAGUCGAGGGGCAGCAUGAAUGUAGCAAUACAUUUGAUGGCGACCGGCAAACGGGUGCGGAACACGUACACAACCUUCCUAUAAGUGGGGAAUAGCCCAGAGAAAUUUGGAUUAAUACCCCGUAACAUAAUGAUGUGGCAUCACAUUAUUAUUAUAGCUACGGCGCUUAUUGAUGGGUGUGCGGCUGAUUAGAUAGUUGGCGGGGUAACGGCCCACCAAGUCUACGAUCAGUAGCUGAUGUGAGAGCAUGAUCAGCCACACGGGCACUGAGACACGGGCCCGACUCCUACGGGAGGCAGCAGUAAGGAAUAUUGGUCAAUGGACGCAAGUCUGAACCAGCCAUGCCGCGUGAAGGAUUAAGGUCCUCUGGAUUGUAAACUUCUUUUAUCUGGGACGAAAAAAGGCGAUUCUUCGUCACUUGACGGUACCAGAUGAAUAAGCACCGGCUAACUCCGUGCCAGCCGCCGCAGUAAAAC
rnacentral:rRNA from 1 species